rnacentral:rRNA from 1 species
UUCCUACGGGGGGCAGCAGUGGGGGAUAUUGCACAAUGGGGGGAACCCUGAUGCAGCGACGCCGCGUGGGUGAAGAAGUAUUUCGGUAUAUAAACUUCUAUCAGCAGGGAAGAAAAUGACGGUACCUGACUAAGAAGCCCCGGCUAACUACGUGCCAGCAGCCGCGGUAAUACGUAGGGGGCAAGCGUUAUCCGGAUUUACUGGGUGUAAAGGGAGCGUAGGCGGUGCAGCAAGUCAGAAGUGAAAGCCCGGGGCUCAACUCCGGGACUGCUUUUGAAACUGUUGAACUAGAUUGCAGGAGAGGG